GAUGAACGCUGGCGGCGUGCCUAAUACAUGCAAGUCGAACGCAUAGCGAAAGGUGCUUGCACCUUUCAAGUGAGUGGCGAACGGGUGAGUAACACGUGGACAACCUGCCUCAAGGCUGGGGAUAACAUUUGGAAAUAGAUGCUAAUACCGAAUAAAACUUAGUGUCGCAUGACACAAAGUUAAAAGGCGCUUCGGCGUCACCUAGAGAUGGAUCCGCGGUGCAUUAGUUAGUUGGUGGGGUAAAGGCCUACCAAGACAAUGAUGCAUAGCCGAGUUGAGAGACUGAUCGGCCACAUUGGGACUGAGACACGGCCCAAACUCCUACGGGAGGCUGCAGUAGGGAAUCUUCCACAAUGGGCGAAAGCCUGAUGGAGCAACGCCGCGUGUGUGAUGAAGGCUUUCGGGUCGUAAAGCACUGUUGUAUGGGAAGAACAGCUAGAAUAGGAAAUGAUUUUAGUUUGACGGUACCAUACCAGAAAGGGACGGCUAAAUACGUG
rnacentral:rRNA from 1 species